UACGUAGGGGGCGAGCGUUGUCCGGAUUUAUUGGGCGUAAAGAGCGUGUAGGCGGCCAGGUAGGUCUGCUGUGAAAACUCGAGGCUCAACCUCGAGACGUCGGGCGGAAACCAUCUGGCUAGAGUCCGGAAGAGGAAAGUGGAAUUCCUAGUGUAGCGGUGAAAUGCGCAGAUAUCAGGAGGAACACCAAUGGCGAAGGCAGCUCGCUGGGACGGUACUGACGCUGAGACGCGAAAGCGUGGGGAGCAAACAGG
rnacentral:rRNA from 1 species